AAAGAUUUAGUUAAAUUAAUAACAUUAGUUUGUCAAAUUAAAAUUAAUAAAUAACACAUAUUAUUCUUUA
rnacentral:tRNA from 1 species